rnacentral:rRNA from 1 species
CUGAACCAGCCAAGUAGCGUGAAGGAUGACUGCCCUAUGGGUUGUAAACUUCUUUUAUACGGGAAUAAAGUGAGCCACGUGUGGCUUUUUGUAUGUACCGUAUGAAUAAGGAUCGGCUAACUCCGUGCCAGCAGCCGCGGUAAUACGGAGGAUUCGAGCGUUAUCCGGAUUUAUUGGGUUUAAAGGGAGCGUAGGCGGGUUGUUAAGUCAGUUGUGAAAGUUUGCGG